GAUGAACGCUGGCGGCGUGCCUAAUACAUGCAAGUCGAGCGAACAGACGAGGAGCUUGCUCCUCUGACGUUAGCGGCGGACGGGUGAGUAACACGUGGAUAACCUACCUAUAAGACUGGGAUAACUUCGGGAAACCGGAGCUAAUACCGGAUAAUAUAUGGAACCGCAUGGUUCAAUAGUGAAAGACGGUUUUGCUGUCACUUAUAGAUGGAUCCGCGCCGCAUUAGCUAGUUGGUAAGGUAACGGCUUACCAAGGCAACGAUGCGUAGCCGACCUGAGAGGGUGACCGGCCACACUGGAACUGAGACACGGUCCAGACUCCUACGGGAGGCAGCAGUAGGGAAUCUUCCGCAAUGGGCGAAAGCCUGACGGAGCAACGCCGCGUGAGUGAUGAAGGUCUUCGGAUCGUAAAACUCUGUUAUUAGGGAAGAACAAAUGUGUAAGUAACUAUGCACGUCUUGACGGUACCUAAUCAGAAAGCCACGGCUAACUACGUG
rnacentral:rRNA from 1 species